AGGCAAAUUUUCAUCACCCAGCUCUCUUUAUUAGACACCCCCUCGUUCAUAUCUUACUCACACACACUCUCAGAAACCCUGUUUUCUUCUCAUGGCUAAAUUCAAACCCUCUCCAUCUUUCCCGAUGCCUCGAAGAAGUCACCAGUUAAAACAAAAUUACCCACAGUGAUGAACAUGUUGACAUUGAAUCGUCGAAGGGCUCAGAUCAUCAAGUGUUUUGAAGAAGAAUCUAGUAAUUCUCUAGAAGAAAUUCUCAUUACUCAAAAAAGGACCAGCAAACGACUAAUGGAGUCGAAUCUCAAACAAUCAUCACAGAAGAAAGGGAAAAUCAAAAGCAUGGAUUUAGGCCCCGAGGACAAGAUGAACUUCUAUGGUCCUGAGGAGAAGUCCUAAUUGGUUGCCUACAAAGGGAAGUCGAUUUCUUAUGGAUGCACUGCUAACUAUUCAAAUCACAAGAAGGAAAGUGCAUCAAGGUAGGAAAGAAACAAAGGAAGGUACAACCACAACUAUCACAUUCAAAUCCUUCUAUCAAGUGCGUACAUCAGGAAAAUAAAGAAGGAAAGUGAAUCAAUCAAUAUGCAAAAUAGACAAAAGACUAUCAAGGAAGGAAAGGGAAUCAAUAAAUUGUGCAAAAUCAACGAAAGACUCAACUUCAGUGAUUGGCCCUGCUUAAUAUUAACUAAGGAUGAAUCUGGCCCUGCUUCGUGUGCUGUAUUCAAGAGGCAACCCUUGGGUCCUACUCUUAGAAUACAUUGACUCAAAAGGAAAAUUAUUUAAUCAACGAUUUUCCAAAAUCUUACAGAAAGGAACCAACAACUUCAUCAAGCUCUAUAUAAGAAGAGAAGAAAGGACUUGGGAUUUUACGCAACUUUCAUACAAGUUUUCAAUCUUUCUACUUCUUACAAAAUACUGUAUUCCUAAACUUACUAGUGUCUCAAAAGAUAGAGAGAAAAAAGAAAUUGAUUUAAAGGUUGUGUCAAGAAUUCAUUUGUAAUUCGUUUGUGGUAAACGUGAAGAAAACAACAUAUAUAGUUGUUCAAUUGAAGAUUUAAGAGAACCCUUAUGACCCAAGGCAACUGGAUGUAGGUUCCAUAUCGGUACACAAACCAGUAUAAAAAUCUCUAUCUCUCAUGUUUAUUUUUAUUGUUCUCCGUUACUUUUAUUUCUUGUACUAACUUUUGUCUGCAGAACCUUGGUAGUCAACUAAGAACAAAGUUAGUCGACUAAAGAAUUUUUACAAUUCGCCCCCUUGUACUUUCAAGUUAGGGGCGUCAAUAAUAGCAACAACAAUGAUUUUGAAACACAUAAACAAGAGCCUUUUGGGCAAUCGAAGAUGGAAGAUGAAGUUCCAGAUUCUCAAGCAGCAAAGACUAACCACAAUAGUAAAAGUUCAGUUUAGAAUUUCCCGAAGGUAUCAUCAAACUUUGAUAGAUUAAUCACAAUAAGAAGGCAAAUGCAUCAGAGGCUCCAAUUGGGAAUGAACAGAUGGGUGCUAAUCUGACUAGGCCAACAUCAAAUCAAUUAUAGAGUGCAAUAUCUAUGUAUCCACAUGGUGCUGGGAUUAGAAUAUCUACCAUAGCUAUGAAUAGAAAAAACAAUCUAGGUACUUCCAAACCAUCUUUUCGGCUGAUGUUCAGGCAAAGUUGGCAAUUGGGAAUUCAGGGCCAUUUGGAAAGUCAAUUGUAGAAAUAAAAUAAGGUAUGAGAGGAACAAAGCUCAAGUGGAAGAAAAGCAGGUCAGUGCCAAUGUCACAGAGGCGUUAUGUUACGGGACUGGUUGGUAUAAUUGGAUGUGGUCCUGAGUGGCUCGGGUGAGUUUCAGGCCAUUUCUAGGCCAUUUUUAAUUGCUAGUUUUUGGCUACAACAGUGUGCAUCGUGAGAAUUUUCUGUUUUGCAUAGGGUUGAUUGUGGAAGCUUAUAUCUCGUAAUCUAUAAGGAAUUUGGAGAUGAUCCAAAAAUGAAAGUUGUAACCCUUUGAGUCUAGUUUCCAGAAAUGUAAAACAUUUAUUAUUUGGGCAAUUUGUAAAGAAAUUUAUGAUCAAUUUACUGAAAACUGGUACUGCAGUUGUUUUGCCUGGCAGUGUACAUCGUGAGAAAAUAUUUGCUGCACAUGGCUGACUUUGGAAGCUUAUAUCUUACAAUCUAUAAGGGAUUUAGAGAUGAUCAAAAUAUGAAAGUUGUAGCCCUUUGAAUCUAGUUUCCAGAAAGAUAAACCCUUCAUCAUUUGGAUAUUUGUACAGAAUGUUAUGAUUGAUUAAUAGAAGGCUGAUACUACAAAUAUUUG